AUUUCUUUUUGACAGAUCCCGAAAGUGGGUGUUUAUGGGAUAUGGAAAGGCGGCGGCACGAUGUUUCUUUUUGGCGGUGAUGGGUAGACCCAUGUCUUAUCGGCUCAUGUGAUCUGCUAGGUGGUGCUAAAAUUGUUAUG
ensembl:ncRNA C32E12.7 ncRNA